rnacentral:rRNA from 1 species
UAUGAUCUGAAGUCAGGUGGGGAUUAC